rnacentral:tRNA from 34 species
GCGGAUGUGGCUCAGUUGGUAGAGCAUCACCUUGCCAAGGUGAGGGUCGCGGGUUCGAGUCCCGUCAUCCGCUCCG